UGCAGCCUUGUCAAAUUCAAUCCCUGCUUCCUCCAUAGCAAGGAUUGGCCAAACGGCUGCCACAGCCACUUCUGUGGUCCAUGAGCCCCACAUCCCCUUCCCCAUGGGACACUGGGGCCUAAAUCAGGCUAUGGACAUGU
ensembl:snoRNA